rnacentral:lncRNA from 1 species
AAACCAUAUCCUGCAAAAAGGGAAACAUGAGAAAAAUGUGCAGGAAGUUUAAAAUAGCUCAAUAUAUUGGGGAACUGCAUUGGUCAUAUGGCAUAGGAUCCUCUCAUUUCUAUUUCAUGGGGGAGAUGUGUUAUUCGAAAGAAUUGGCCAAAGAGGACUUAAAAAUAUUCAUUUUUUCACAAGUCUGAUAAAAAGGAGAUCCCAUAAGGUGAGCAGCAGAGCCUUGAAAGCAGCUUUGGCAAAUUAACUUCCAUCUUCCCAGGCCAGCAACCUCCUAUUUUUUUUUAAUAGCAGAAGAACAUAUACCACUAGACAUUACUCUUCUUGACAGCGGGAGAUUACAUGCUGGACUUGACUGAGUUUCUGUCAAGGAGAAUUUAUUGCAAUUUUGAAGAUGGUUCUUAAAAGAGAUGGCUGUUUUGCAUUUUUUAUACAGGCCCUAAAAAUAUGUCAGGUUUGAUCUUCUACAAAAUCACCUUGUGUAAACUUCCUGCUUCUCUUCCUCCUCUCCUGACUCCCAGCUUCCCCCGGCCCUUUGCACGCAAUGCCUCUUGCCAAACCUCCCCCAAGACAGCCCAGCUUCCAGAGCCUUGCCUCACAUUUUGUGGAGCUCCCGCUUUUGUCUGCAAAGCUGAGUCCCUAGUGGCCUUAAAGCACAACCUGGAAUCUCCCUCUCACAAAGCCUUGUCAAGAGCCUGACUGGGGAUCCCCAAAUAACUCUGAAGCCACAGCGACCCAUCCAUCAGUCACCCCAGGGAAAUGAAAGCCAAGAAGCACAGAUCACGAAAAUAUAACAAUAAAAAUGACAAGAGGUCUUGUUUGUUGAGUAGUUCUUGUGCAUUAUAAGCUGGCAAAUGGGCUAAGUGUUUUGUAUGGGUUCCUGUGACUUCAAAACAGCACCUCAUUUACAUUUAUGCCCAAAUUAUGACAGUUUAAGUCCUACUGACUUUAUUUCUGGGAAGUAGCCCUUCUCAAGGCAUCCCUGGACAUUUCUGACAGGUCCAGGUGAUUACAUAUGCUCAGGGAUGCGAACCUUGGAUUCCAG